GUUUAUUUUACGAUGUCUUGUCUUGACCUCGUUACCACUGUGAGGGAGCAAAAAAAAUCACGUGACCACAAUGCGAACGACCACGGAGAAAUUCAGACAACAAAACAUGGAACGUUCACAUCAGGCUAGUUCUGUUUAAGUACUGCGGACACGACCGCAUCACAUGCCUGUACAUAUGAGCUAUUCAUGCUGAGAAAAGCCAGUCACGCUUGAAUACACCAAGCUAUAAAACAAGAUGCGGAAGAAAACUGGGCUGAGACUUCACCGGAGAAAGAACAGACGGUCUGACCUUGUCCAUGUUGAUGUACCUCUAAACGUGGUCAUCAAUGCACAUAAUGCACCGAAAUGGACGCAAUCGAAAAGCAACUUCAAAUGCUACUGGGUAGUUCUUUAUAACCAGCGAAGGACAUGUGUAGUCAUUACUCAAUUACAAAGUUGUUUCUGAUUAAA